UACGUAGGGUGCGAGCGUUGUCCGGAAUUAUUGGGCGUAAAGGGCUCGUAGGCGGUUUGUCGCGUCGGGAGUGAAAACACUGGGCUUAACCGAGUGCUUGCUUUCGAUACGGGCAGACUAGAGGUAUGCAGGGGAGAACGGAAUUCCUGGUGUAGCGGUGAAAUGCGCAGAUAUCAGGAGGAACACCGAUGGCGAAGGCAGGUCUCUGGGCCACUACUGACGCUGAGAAGCGAAAGCAUGGGGAGCGAACAGG
rnacentral:rRNA from 1 species